CGGGGGGAGCAAGCGUUGUUCGGAUUUACUGGGCGUAAAGAGCGCGUAGGCGGCCUCUGCAAGUCGACUGUGAAAUCUCCGGGCUUAACCCGGAAAGGUCAGCCGAUACUGCAGGGCUAGAGUGCAGAAGGGGCAACUGGAAUUCUCGGUGUAGCGGUGAAAUGCGUAGAUAUCGAGAGGAACACCUGCGGCGAAGGCGGGUUGCUGGGCUGACACUGACGCUGAGGCGCGAAAGCUAGGGGAGCGAACGGGAUUAGAUACCCCGGUAGUCCUAGCCUUAAACGAUGAAUGCUUGGUGUCUGGGGUUUUAUAGUCCCGGGUGCCGCCGCUAACGCUUUAAGCAUUCCGCCUGGGAGUGCGGUCGCAAGACUG
rnacentral:rRNA from 1 species